CCUCAGUGUCUCCUCUCCUUCGGGAGAACGGAAGGACGCCUGCGGCCUACGGAGGAAUGGAGCCUGGCCAUGCAGCAGGAAGGAAGAUAAAGCUCUGGCUAACAUCUGGACUGAGCCCCAGGCAGGACCCAGCAAUGAAAAGAUGAAUCAGAGCCAGGCCUGCCCAGCAGGAUCGGGCAGCCCAAGGAGGGAGGCAAGCAGCUGGGAGAAACCAUGAUGACCCAAGGCCGCUUCUGGUCCACACGAGCCACGGUAUUCAGGUCUGCGACAGACGCUACACCGGGACCCCAGACGGCACAGGCGCCGAUGCGCUCCGGCCUGGAUUACUGCGGUCG